GACGAACCGUGCGAACGUUAUUCGGAAUCACUGGGCUUAAAGCGCGUGUAGGCGGGCCGUCGCGUCGGCUGCUGAAAUCCCCCGGCUCAACCGGGGAAGUGGCACCGAUACGGGCGGCCUGGAGGGGGGUAGGGGGCCUGGAACUUCCGGUGGAGCGGUGAAAUGCGUUGAGAUCGGAAGGAACGCCCGUGGCGAAAGCGGCUCCCUGGUCCGUUUCUGACGCUGAGACGCGAAAGCGCCGGGGAGCGAACGGG
rnacentral:rRNA from 1 species